UGAAGAGCAGUGCAGUGUGGAAUGGGAAUGAAAUGAAGAUUAAUAGCUGCUGAAAUCUGAAACCAAAUGAAGGUGUUCGGGUGUGAAAAUUUUGCAAAAAUGCUGCUGGAGCUGGAGUCAACAAAGAAUAUUACAUAGGCGUGGAGCUGGAGUCAAAAAAAUGUCCAGAAUAGAUGGCUGAGCAUGCGCUUAAGGGAUAGCUGCAGAUUUCUUUCACACACAUACACUAUUCCC
rnacentral:lncRNA from 1 species